rnacentral:rRNA from 1 species
AUGUUUCUUUUCUUCCCCUUUUCAAUCCCAUUCAUCCCCACAGCCAGAGGAGAGUACCCAUGGCGAGCACCACCAAAGCAGCUAGAAAAACAGCAGGGGCUGCCGCCGGCGGCUAGCUUGCUGCAUCCUCCGCCCAACCCAGUCAAUGUUGAAAACAAAGAGGACGAUGGUGCGCAUGGUGUGGGGCGGCGGCGCGGAAUCCCGCGGGGCUGCGUGGUAGUGGCCACCGGAGCUGCAGAUGACGACGGUGUUGGAGAUGGGUUGCCACUCGUCGCACAUGCUACAAUCGGGAAGCUGAGGAGAGGAGCAGGGCAACAUCGGGCUCCGGCGGCACCGCGUGCUGCGUCGCAACAUCUUCGUCGCCACCGCCUGAUUCGUCGCAGCACCUCGCCUCCGUCGCGUUGUGCUGCAGUGAAGCUUCGCCGGCUCCCAUCGGGUGCGGCGAGGUUGUAA